UAAGACCACAGUGCGAACAGCACUAGUCAGUGAAGCAAGCUCCCAGUCAUCAUCAAUCGAACUUCCACCCAUUAUGUAAAUCAGGAAACCUGAGCUGGCAUCUAGUUAUGUUAGUAUAUAUAGUAAAAAAGUAUGCUUCACAUAAGGCAUAAACGUGCAAUGAAAAAAAUCACGUUUGGACCAAUAGAAAAAUGUUUUUUUACGACACACCCACUGCAUAAAUGAAUCCCUAUUUCAUGUAACCACAAUUCCAAAACUCAGAAGUCAUAUCUCCGUUCUUUGAUAGAAACAAAAUUAUGCAAAUGACCCUUAAUCAAUAGAUCGUUUUUUAUUCUGAGCAGAAGAUAGUGAUUUCGAAACAUGGUCAAUGAAUUGUUUCCCUUUGGAAUGGAAACUUUCUCAGCACCCAAAAGCCACACGUAUUUCCAUGGACUGGCAAGACAUUCCAUUAAGUUAAAAAAAAUUCGAAGUAAUCAAACAAACAAACAUAACACAAUUUUCGAACAAUUAUAGGGAGUCCCAAAUAAAUAAAUUAAAAACUACAACUGAAACACCGACCCGAUGUUCUAAUUUCGUUCUUCUAUUUUCGGCUAAUACAAAGGCUGAUUAUGCUUCAAAUAAAGGUCGUACCCAGUGCACAAGGCUCCCGCUUUACGCAGGGUCUGGGAGAGGUGAAUGUCGGCUAGCCUUACCCCCAUUUUAUGGAGAGGCUGCUCCCAAGUCUCGAACCCGAGACCUACCGCUCAUGGGCGAAGGCACUUGCCAUCGCACCAAGUGCGACCUCUAGGAACCAAGACAGAAGCAAACAAAUUUGUACGAAUACAUGUAGCAAAUUAUACGCAGUCCCAAAUAAAUAUAUUAAAAACAACUGAAACACCGACCCGAUGUUCUAAUUUCGGCUAAUACGAAGGCUGAUUAUGCUUCACAUAUCACUAUUAGUUCCAUUUAAAACAAUUUCCAACCACUAAACAGAGCAUAGGAACCAAGACAGAAGCAAACAAAUUUGUACGAAUACAUCUAGCAAAUUAAGCAAACGAUCAUCAAGUACUGCAAUCUUCAAAGUAAAUCUAAUAUAUUUAAUCAUAAUCAUCGCAAUUAAAGCUAGAUGACUCCCCAGUCAACAAAAUAAGAAACAAUUAAUCAAAUCCAAAACCUGAAUCAGCUAAAUACGCUAAGAACACAGAUCAGAAGCAGAAAUACUUGGGAUUUUCCGGGAAAACGAAAAGCCCCCAAUAAUGCACCAAAUAAGUCUCGACUGGGCGCAGAGAGGCAAAACAAGCAGAAAGCGUAAACCUGGAUUUUCCCGGAAACCAAACAAAAAGUAGAAAUUUGGUUCGAAAGAGAAGAAGAAUUUGUUCAAGGGAUUAGGAAUUGGGAGAUGACUUACUUGCAAAGGAAAAUAGUAGAGUCGCAAUCGCCGACACAGUGGGGGAGAUGAUAAGUUCCCCAAGACUUGUUUACUUAUUUAUUAUCGCCUGUAUUUGCAUAGGGACCCUUGGCGUUUGUGGGGCCCGCUAAAAUUACAAUCAACGGCCGAGAUUGCACCCACUGUUUCCAUGUUUAUUGGGAUUUGUUUUUUGUCAAUUGUUUUUCGGAUUUUUAAUUUGUGUUGCGGCCAAUUUUAUAAGAAAGAGGAAGAGAAAAUAAUCUUCGCAAGAAAAAAAAUAUCUUCAAAUAUGUAAAUCAUAUGAGUUGUCAUGUAAAUAGAGUUUUACAUCUUUAAAGACUAAACAACAUUGCCUUUAUCCAACGAGAACAACUUAUAUAACACAAAUACACUAUUAUAUAGAAUAUUUAUUAAUAUAAAAGUGAUUUGUAAAUAAAAAUUUACACAUAUUUAUUUCAUUUCCAUGAAACCCACCAUAAAUAGUGUACACGUAUAUAUAACAGUUUCGAACUCUUAUUUCUCCCCUAACAAUAAACAGUGUUCAAUAUCUUAAUGGAUAAGGUGUUUCUAUCCAUACACUCCGCGUUCAAAACUUCUUCAUCUUCUAAAUAUUGUAAUAAUUUCAUACUCUAUCUUUUAUAAUAAUAAUACUAAAAUAAUAAAAAUAAAAUAAGUGUACACAAAGUCUUUCUCACAUCCUAGUUGCUUAUGUUCUGGAGUUGGGUUGGACCUUCUACACACUAGUUACUGGCCCAAUUUCGUGGGCUUUUUGCUUCUUUGGAUGAACCCAAUCUCUAAUGCUAGGAGAGGAAUUAAUUGUUUAUAAAAUUUUCCAAAAAAUGAGACUAAAAUUAAAGUUU
rnacentral:lncRNA from 1 species